UGGGGUUUUUUCUCACUUUGA
rnacentral:piRNA from 1 species